GCUUACGGCCACACCGCCUGGUUCACGCCCGAUCUCGUUUGAUCUCGGAAGCUAAGAUAGGUGGGCCUGGUUAGUACUUGGAUGGGAGACCGCCUGGGAAUACCAGGUGUUGUAAGAU
rnacentral:rRNA from 1 species